rnacentral:misc_RNA from 1 species
GAUGAAGAACGUAGCGAAAUGCGAUACUUGGUGUGAAUUGCAGAAUCCCGUGAACCAUCGAGUCUUUGAACGCAAGUUGCGCCCGAAGCCAUCAGGUUGAGGGCACGUCUGCCUGAGCGUCACAUAUCGUUGCCCAAUGCCUAUUGCAGUGCAAUAGGAAUUUCUAGGGCGAAUGAUGGCUUCCCGUGAGCGUUGUUGCCUCGCGGUUGGUUGAAAAUCGAGUCCUUGGUAGGGUGUGCCAUGGUAGAUGGUGGUCGAGUUAGAACGAUACCGAUCAUGUGCAUGCUCCCCAAAAUAUGGCCUCUAUGACCCACACGCGUCUUUUGACGCUCAUGACGAGACCUCAGGUCAGGCGGGGCUACCCGCUGAAUUUAAGCAUAUCAAUAAGCGGAGGA